UACGUAGGGUGCAAGCGUUGUCCGGAAUUAUUGGGCGUAAAGAGCUCGUAGGCGGUUUGUCGCGUCUGCUGUGAAAACUCGGGGCUUAACUCCGGGCCUGCAGUGGGUACGGGCAGACUAGAGUGCGGUAGGGGAGACUGGAAUUCCUGGUGUAGCGGUGAAAUGCGCAGAUAUCAGGAGGAACACCAGCGGCGAAGGCGGCACUCUGGGCUGGUACUGACGCUGAGGAGCGAAAGCGUGGGUAGCAAACAGG
rnacentral:rRNA from 1 species